rnacentral:rRNA from 1 species
AAACAGCAAUUAAUACCGGAUAUGAGACGUAAAGGCAUCUUCAACGUUUGGAAAGAGUUUCGGUCUGGGAUGAGCUCGCGGCCUAUCAGCUAGUUGGUGAGGUAACGGCUCACCAAGGCGUCGACGGGUAGCCGGCCUGAGAGGGUGACCGGCCACACUGGGACUGAGACACGGCCCAGACUCCUACGGGAGGCAGCAGUGGGGAAUAUUGCACAAUGGGCGCAAGCCUGAUGCAGCAACGCCGCGUGAGGGACGACGGCCUUCGGGUUGUAAACCUCUUUUAGCAGGGAAGAAGCGAAAGUGACGGUACCUGCAGAAAAAGCACCGGCUAACUACGUGCCAGCAGCCGCGGUAAUACGUAGGGUGCAAGCGUUAUCCGGAAUUAUUGGGCGUAAAGAGCUCGUAGGCGGUCUGUCGCGUCUGCUGUGAAAACCCGAGGCUCAACCUCGGGCCUGCAGUGGGUACGGGCAGACUAGAGUGCGGUAGGGGAGAUUGGAAUUCCUGGUGUAGCGGUGGAAUGCGCAGAUAUCAGGAGGAACACCGAUGGCGAAGGCAGAUCUCUGGGCCGUAACUGACGCUGAGGAGCGAAAGGGUGGGGAGCAAACAGGCUUAGAUACCCUGGUAGUCCACCCCGUAAACGUUGGGAACUAGUUGUGGGGUCCAUUCCACGGAUUCCGUGACGCAGCUAACGCAUUAAGUUCCCCGCCUGGGGAGUACGGCCGCAAGGCUAAAACUCAAAGGAAUUGACGGGGACCCGCACAAUCGGCGGAGCAUGCGGAUUAAUUCGAUGCAACGCGAAAAACCUUACCAAGGCUUGACAUAUAUAGGAAACGGCUUAAAAAUUUUUUAACUUAAUAUUUAUAUAUUUAAGUAAAUGGUUGUAGACAUCAA